UUUGAUCAUGACAUAAAAUCAUGCAUAGCUUAUGCCGUUGACAUAAAUUUCGUUGCAUAAAAAUAUUUAUGUAUUGUUUUAGCUUAUGACGUGAAUUAAUCAUCAUUACAUAAACUGAAUAGUCAUGAACGAGCCUGUUGACAUAAACUUUGCAUAAGUCGUCAUUUUUCAGCCACAGCAAGUUCUUGCGAAAAAGGGUCAUCGGCUUCCCAUUUUGACGGGAUAGAGGCAUAUUUUGUUGAACCACACAAACGAUGAGAAGAGGUAGAAAUAAAGAGGGGGAUUGCAACUGGAAGGAGAUGGAAGUCCACACACUCUGCCACUGUGUGCCAUUGAACAAGAAAUCUCUUUUAGUAUGAAGAUUGUUCAAGAGACAAGACUAAUGAAGACGUGACGUCAUGGACCUGGUUGCACAUGGCAAGUGAACUAUCUGACUGUACCCUGAAGUAUUCUCUUUAAGAUUUGAAAAUUAACAAAAGUACUAAUUUUCAUUUUUUCAGAGAUAAUAAUCAUUAUAUUGACAUUGUGGAUAUCUUUUUAUGAUUGUUAUCAUAAAAUUAUUAUGUUAAUGAUGAUAGGUCAUAAUAAUACAAAUGAAUAAUAAGUAGAAAAGAAGACAACCAAAAAGGAGGAGGAAAAGAAGAAGAUGAAGAAGAAAAAGAAGAGGAGGAGUGGAAGAGGAGAAAAGGAGAAGAAGAAUAAAUAACAUCACUGUGAGUUCCUCUUCAUGAUAUUACAUAAAUUUUUGUCUCUUUUAAAUGGAAAUAUUUAUUAAGCAUAAAAAUAGGAUUUAGUUAUUCUUGUUUUUUAAGAUGUAUUAUUAUGUAUCAUGUUUGUAGUUGUACACUUGAUUGAGGUACAUGUAUUGUAUUCAUUUAGGAUAUAACUAUGUUUUAUUUGAAUCCAUGUACCUCUUUAAAUCAUAUUUAUACAGUCAUGAUUAAAGGACAUGGGAAAGGUAACAAGAUUGCAUUGUUUUACAAAUUUUACUGUGUAUUUAUUUUAAAAGUAAUAAAUUUACAUAAAAUGUCA